GGAUAAACGCACUUAGGAACUGAAGGAAAGAAAAAAUGGUGUAAGAAAGGAAAUGCAAUCUAUUAUCUAUCAUCUCUAUAGUGGAUGAUACUAACACAAUUACACAAAAAACACGAUGUAUUAGUUUCUAACUUUUUGGGUUCAUCUACAGACAAAGCACAGACGACUUGAUUGUCCAGCUGGUGACAAAAAGGAAGUCAGACAUUCCAAGCAGGAGGAAAAUUCUAUCUGCCUUUGUUAUCUGGAAAGUGGAGGGGACACGCGGAAAGGACCUGAGCCCCACCUCUACUGCCAAGAGUGCCCCAGUCACUUCAGUGGCCUGGGACACAUGGCUCCCCUCCUUCAGUAUGAACAGACACCACCAGCAGCGGGAUCAUCAGCUCUGCAAUCCCAAGGAAGCCAACAGUGUGGAUGAAGCUGGAAGUAGAUUCUUUCCUAAGCCUCCAGAUGAGAGCCAGGCCGAGCUGAUAUCUGCAUUUCAGCUUUGUGAUGCUGGGAGCAGAGAACUCAAGACUUCUGACCUACACAACUGUGAGGUAACUAACACGUGGAUGUUGUUUAAAGUCGCAAAGUUUGCGAUGACUUGUUAUACAACAGAAAACUAAUACACCUGGCAUGUCUUUCCCCUCCCAGUCUGCCCCCAAACUCUUAUUUUGUUUAGGUCACAAGAAGUGUUCUGGCCUAGUGGUUAAUCUCUCGGACUGCAGACAGGCAGACCUGGCUCAGAAUUUUUCCUGUGAGGAUUAGCAGUCACGAACACAGCAAACAUCCAACAAACAGAACUGUAAUUAUUGCUCUUAUUCAUUCCUUGAGUCUCUGUUCUGCACUCAUUCCCUCAGUACAUGUUUCCCCGCCUCCCUGUCUCUCCCCUCUGGAAAUUUCAUCACGCCCUCCCCUGUACUUUGUGCUUGCUGUGCUAGUGCAUGCUGUCCUGGUUAAAUGCCCUCACCAGACUGCUAGCUUGUCGAAGGGCAGAAGCCUUGUCUGCUCAGAGCCUGCCAUGGCCCCUGUCAUGAAGAAGCUCGGAGAAUGUUUAUGAGGAAGGAGCACAGAGGAACCUUCUAGAAGUCUGAGCCACCCAGUGAAGACUGCUCAGGGAGGGGCCUUAUGAGGACGCAGUCAUGGAAGAAAAGCUUCUUUGGAAAAGAGGGACUCAAGAGAAGCAGGCUCUGCUCUAAUGAAUGGGGACAGCAGGGAUCCCAUCAGGUUUGAGCAGAACAGCCUGCAGUCAGUAUGGCUGACACUGGGUAUAGGGUGGUAGCCAAAAAUUCAGCUUUGUCCUUCGGCUCUCAGUGGGAAAGAUGGUGACCUGCAGAACCUGACCGAGGUGCAGACUACCGUCACAAUCACAACCACCACACCCAUUCAAAGGAAAGCAGGCCUGGAUCCAAGAGAGUUCUUACACUGGAAUCUGUGAUGAGGGAAAGAAGGGAUAGGAGAUUAGAACCAUUUUUAGCUUUUUCCUUUUUUACAUAAUAAAUAAGCUUCAUUUCUUUCUUUCAUU